UCAUAGAGAAGGCAUGGUGAAGAGCAACAGACAGACAGUAGCUGAGAUCAAGGAGCAAGACAGAAACUGGAAAAGCUCAACAACUCUGGAACUCCCUUCCCAGGGAGGUUAGACUGGCUUCUUCCUUGCUGUCCUUCCAUCCCCAGAUACGGUUCCUGAAAGGAGGCAUGAAGUAAAUACACUGAAAAAUGUAAGCAGGAAGAUGGCUGUGACUAGGGAACGUGCCAUGACCACUUUUUUCCCUCUCAUGUGCAGCGCGCAUUUGGCAAGCAAAAGUUUGAAUUCUAUGGAAUUACACCUGCUACAACAGGCAGAAAAAUCAUUAAGUGGCCCACCAAGAUCCUCAGCAAUUUUCAAGUAGUCCAUGAGGAGAAAAGGUUUUAUGAAAGAUGCCAGUGGGCCAUCUCUGUCUUUGUAUGCGUUGGAUGUGUCAUGACCCAUCUCUCAAAACUCUCCCUCCCCCAAUAAAUUUGCUCAUGCCAGUGCCUGUUUGUGUAUUACAGUAGACAUCUCUGUAUACAUUACUGCUGCCUGGAGCUAAGAUUCUGGCAGAGCAAUCGAACCCCCAAAACCACCACCAUGUUGUGCUAGUGGUGAUGAUGGAAUGAGGGCAGAUAUCCCUCCGCUCAGCUCUUCCAGCUAAACUGGCCUCCUGCCAGCCACCUAAUGGGCAGCAGACUUGAUGAAGAACCACUUUAUACUCAGCCCAACCCAAUGGUCCAUGAAUAUUUGUGCUGUCCAUUUUAACAAACCAAGUUCGCCAUAACCUUCUGAAGAUGUCUUCCCAUCCCGAUAUCUGCAGUUCCAGAACUGGAGAUGCUAUUGGCCAAAUCCAAUGCUUCAACCAUGCCAAAAAUGAAUUCCACUGACCUUGGUUUCAGCUCUUUUCUCCCAAUUUUUAUUUUUAAAAAUCAUUUUACUCUUUACAGAAUUCUGUAAACUGGAUCAGCUUAAGACCAAGGGCUGAAUCCAGAGUUGCAGCUUCACUCAUGCAACAGACUUCCAUGCACAAAUUGAACUUCCUUUCGCUUUCUUGUCCCCUACAGGCCCCCAUGCCCUUAAAAUCAGCUCUGGAGGCUUGGAGGACCCACUAGAGCAGAUUUGGGGGGCAUGCAGAGGGAGGAGAGGAAAUGGAAGUCCUGUGGCAUGAGAGGAACUCUGCUCAUGCAGUGUGGGAUACGACCUCAAAGGUCUGAUGUGUGAAAGUGUGGUAGAUGUGUUAUUCAAGGGAAAGCCUUCCAUCACUUUUACAUGUAAUGUUUUGGCUUGUUAUGAUGAAACAACUCUCAUUCUUCUAAAGAAUAAAUAAAAAUGGCCCCUUUCAAAGCAAGAUGUUCUUAAUUUUUGCAUUUGACUUGGACAAUAUUUUUCCGUAUUGGAAAAAGAAAU